rnacentral:rRNA from 1 species
CCUACGGGUGGCUGCAGUGAGGAAUAUUGGUCAAUGGACGAAAGUCUGAACCAGCCAUGCCGCGUGAAGGAAGACUGCUCUAUGAGUUGUAAACUGCUUUUAUACGGGGAUAAAAUGGUAUACGUGUGUGAAGCUGUAAGUACCAUACGAAUAAGGAUCGGCUAACUCCGUGCCAGCAGCCGCGGUAAUACGGAGGAUCCAAGCGUUAUCCGGAUUUAUUGGGUUUAAAGGGUGCGUAGGCGGAUUGUUAAGUCAGAUGUGAAAGGUAGGGGCUCAACCGGGGAAGUGCAGUUGAAACUGGCAGUCUUGAGUGCAGAAGAGGUAGGCGGAAUGCAUGGUGUAGCGGUGAAAUGCUUAGAUAUCACGCAGAACACCGAUUGCGAAGGCAGCUCACUGGUCUGUAACUGACGCUGAGGCACGAAAGCGUGGGGAGCAAACAGGAUUAGAUACCCCAGUAGUC